rnacentral:misc_RNA from 1 species
UUUCAUUCUUAACAUGUUAAGAACAUGAAUGACGGAACAAUCUAUCACAAGUACUAUAAAUCAUGGUUCACAGUCCAUGGUACCUCAUUGAGUAUGAUUUCGUCAAAGACUAUCAUCUCUGUUUGUUUCUAUGGAUUAGUAUAAGAUAUUAAUGAAAGUGGAACGUACAGUCUCAUGCCAUCUAACAUUAUGAUGUUAGACAAACAUAGUGGACACUUAUAAGAUAAAUAAGCUAAACCAAGGACACAUAGAUGACAUGUACAUGGAGUUUACUCUUCUCAAUAUAUUGUCAUAUAGAUCCUAAUAGUGCAUACAGUCUCCUAACUUGAGACAACACGAUUAUCUUGUAUAUGGGUGGUUUGACUUUGAUACUGCUCGCAUACUUGUACAAGGUAUAUGAUGCGUCCCACAUCAGUUUCACAGGAAAGUGUUAAGUGUUAUAUAUAUGAGUUUGCAA